GUGAAACUUCUUAGAGGGACUGGCGAUCAAAAAGGCGCACGAGAAAGAGCAAUAACAGGUCUGUGAUGCCCUAAGAUGUCCGGGGCCGCACGCGUGCUACAAUGACGAUGCUAGUGAGCAUGAUUAACUUGCCCGAAAGGGUAGGUAAAACUGUUCAAUCAUCGUCGUGACUGGGAUUGGGGUUUGCAAUUAUCCCCCAUGAACCAGGAAUUCCUAGUAAGCACAAGUCAUAAGCUUGUGCUGAUUACGUCCCUGCCCUUUGUACACACCGCCCGUCGCUACUACCGAUUGAAUGGCUUAGCAAGGUCAUUGGAUUGAGUUCUUGCAGUUCACCCUGCUUGGAUUCGAGAAGAUGUCCGAACUUGGUCAUUUAGAGGAAGUAAAAGUCGUAACAAGGUUUCCGUAGGUGAACCUGCGGAAGGAUCAUUA
rnacentral:rRNA from 1 species